rnacentral:rRNA from 1 species
GUAAGGUGCAAGCGUUAUCCGGAUUUACUGGGUGUAAAGGGAGCGUAGGCCGGAGGUUAAGCGUGUUGUGAAAUGUAGAGGCUCAACCUCUGCACUGCAGCGCGAACUGGUCUUCUUGAGUACGCACAACGUGGGCGGAAUUCGUGGUGUAGCGGUGAAAUGCUUAGAUAUCACGAAGAACUCCGAUUGCGAAGGCAGCUCACGGGAGCGCAACUGACGCUGAAGCUCGAAAGUGCGGGUAUCAAACAGGAUUAGAUACCCUGGUAGUCCGCACGGUAAACGAUGGAUGCCCGCUGUUGGCCUGAAUAGGUCAGCGGCCAAGCGAAAGCAUUAAGCAUCCCACCUGGGGAGU